CUCAAAUCGGCACAUGUCGCAAUUCUUAUUAGAGGAUUAGAGGAUUUUUAUGGUAAACCAAGUCCUUCAUUCACGUGAGUGACAGCGCUGACAGCAGAAAUUGUAUGAUAAAAGCCGAGGAAUUCUUCAAAGUGGGACAAUCUGAGGCUCUAAGCGAGUUUCAAUGAUAGCGUCUGUACGUCUGUAGUCUAGCAGCAUUGUGUUUACAUUGAAAUUUUUGGUUAUGUUUGUACCUGAUACGGUACUUUCUUAUAUUAUGUUAUGUUGAAAUCAAGAAAAACUAAAAUGAUGUGAUAAUGAUGUCGUAGGUAAGACAUAUGGAUGCUUUAUGUGUCUGGAUGAUUGACAUAUUAUGUAGUAAUCCUCGAUAUGUGAUUCGCUAACAAUUUCUCUCUGAUCGAGGCUGAUAAUAAGGCUAAUUUUUUUUAUUUUGGGAAUAUGACACGCUCACAUGUAAAAUACCAAAUUGCUAGAGAUGAUGUCGAUACAUCCGAGUACUUACCACAAAAUAUUCCAGAUUUUCAAAAUGUGACGAAGACAGAACCCACGUUUUGGAGGAAAGCGUUCCACAUAUUUUUAUUGAUAUCUGCUUACUUUAUUUUAUCAAUAGGCCUUACAUUUUAUAAUCCAUGGCUUU